rnacentral:rRNA from 1 species
UGGGGAAUAUUGCACAAUGGGCGCAAGCCUGAUGCAGCCAUGCCGCGUGAGUGAAGAAGGCCUUAGGGUUGUAAAACUCUUUCAGUGGUGAAGAUAAUGACGGUAGCCACAGAAGAAGCCCCGGCCAACUCCGUGCCAGCAGCCGCGGUAAUACGGAGGGGGCUAGCGUUGUUCGGAAUUACUGGGCGUAAAGCGCGCGUAGGCGGGCUGGUAAGUUGGGGGUGAAAUCCCGGGGCUUAACCCCGGAACUGCCUUCAAUACUGCCAGUCUAGAGUUCGAGAGAGGUAAGUGGAAUUCCUAGUGUAGAGGUGAAAUUCGUAGAUAUUAGGAGGAACAUCAGUGGCGAAGGCGGCUACCUGGACUAACACUGACACUGAGGCACGAAAGCGUGGGGAGCAAACAGGAUUAGAUACCCUGGUAGUCCACGCUGUAAACGAUGGGUACUAGACGUUGGGAAGUUUAAUCUUCUUAGUGUCGCAGCUAACGCAUUAAGUACCCCGCCUGGGGAGUACGGCCGCAAGGUUA